GAAUGCUGACAUAAGUAACGAUAAAGCGGGUGAAAAGCCCGCUCGCCGGAAGACCAAGGGUUCCUGUCCAACGUUAAUCGGGGCAGGGUGAGUCGACCCCUAAGGCGAGGCCGAAAGGCGUAGUCGAUGGGAAACGGGUUAAUAUUCCCGUACUUGGUGUUACUGCGAAGGGGGGACGGAGAAGGCUAUGUUGGCCGGGCGACGGUUGUCCCGGUUUAAGCGUGUAGGUGUGUGUUCCAGGUAAAUCCGGUUCACUUUAACACUGAGGCGUGACGACGAGGCACUACGGUGCUGAAGCAACAAAUGCCCUGCUUCCAGGAAAAGCCUCUAAGCAUCAGGUAACACGAAAUCGUACCCCAAACCGACACAGGUGGUCAGGUAGAGAAUACCAAGGCGCUUGAGAGAACUCGGGUGAAGGAACUAGGCAAAAUGGUGCCGUAACUUCGGGAGAAGGCACGCUGACACGUAGGUGAAGUGAUUUACUCAUGGAGCUGAAGUCAGUCGAAGAUACCAGCUGGCUGCAACUGUUUAUUAAAAACACAGCACUGUGCAAACACGAAAGUGGACGUAUACGGUGUGACGCCUGCCCGGUGCCGGAAGGUUAAUUGAUGGGGUCAGCGUAAGCGAAGCUCCUGAUCGAAGCCCCGGUAAACGGCGGCCGUAACUAUAACGGUCCUAAGGUAGCGAAAUUCCUUGUCGGGUAAGUUCCGACCUGCACGAAUGGCGUAAUGAUGGCCAGGCUGUCUCCACCCGAGACUCAGUGAAAUUGAACUCGCUGUGAAGAUGCAGUGUACCCGCGGCAAGACGGAAAGACCCCGUGAACCUUUACUAUAGCUUGACACUGAACAUUGAGCCUUGAUGUGUAGGAUAGGUGGGAGGCUUUGAAGUGUGGACGCCAGUCUGCAUGGAGCCGACCUUGAAAUACCACCCUUUAAUGUUUGAUGUUCUAACGUGGACCCGUAAUCCGGGUUGCGGACAGUGUCUGGUGGGUAGUUUGACUGGGGCGGUCUCCUCCUAAAGAGUAACGGAGGAGCACGAAGGUUGGCUAAUCCUGGUCGGACAUCAGGAGGUUAGUGCAAUGGCAUAAGCCAGCUUGACUGCGAGCGUGACGGCGCGAGCAGGUGCGAAAGCAGGUCAUAGUGAUCCGGUGGUUCUGAAUGGAAGGGCCAUCGCUCAACGGAUAAAAGGUACUCCGGGGAUAACAGGCUGAUACCGCCCAAGAGUUCAUAUCGACGGCGGUGUUUGGCACCUCGAUGUCGGCUCAUCACAUCCUGGGGCUGAAGUAGGUCCCAAGGGUAUGGCUGUUCGCCAUUUAAAGUGGUACGCGAGCUGGGUUUAGAACGUCGUGAGACAGUUCGGUCCCUAUCUGCCGUGGGCGCUGGAGAACUGAGGGGGGCUGCUCCUAGUACG
rnacentral:rRNA from 1 species